GUACAACACAGAUUCACAUUUACAUGGACUCCAAAUUACACUAACCAAAAGUAGUAUUUACUCUUGGAUUUUUAAUAAUCUAGAAACUAUUUACACCAUAUACAAACACAACUAAAUGAACUAUUUCCUUUUUUGGAUUUGAUAAUCUAGGACUAUUUACACCACACUUAACCUAAGUAAUAUGUUACUGUACAUAACUACUUACACUAGACUAAAGCAUAGAUAUUUUAAGGUUCCUACUGUGCAGUAUAAAUUCCAAGCCCCUCUUGCUUAGGGGAGGAAAAUAG
rnacentral:lncRNA from 1 species